UUUCUGUAGAACAAAUUUUUAGUGUAAUUAUGGUGUCAAUAGUUUUAAAUACUGAUUCAUAGGUAAUGCUAAACUGCCCUCCAAAAAGAUUAUACCAAUUUACAUUUCCUCCAGUAAGCAGUGUGAGAGGCAGAGACUGCUGAAUGUUGUAACUGAGACAUCUGGUCAGACAGCUGCAUUUUCAAGGUUGGCUUUCGUUCCAGCUGUGGGUGGGAACCAUGAGUUUCCUGGAAUGUCUGCAUUUCUCAGUGGAUGACCUAGAUUCGUUUGGGUGAAUUUUGUUCCCAAGGGCGUUAGAGAAAAUGGGCUCAUUUCAGAGCCUCUUCAAGCUUUGGAACACUGGUCCUCAGGACUGAGGAUUUUCUAGAACAUAGGAUUAUUGGACAGCAAAGAUGGAAGCAGAGCAGCCUAAGGAAUGUGACCAGGUUUUGGAUGGAUAAGUUUACUGCAAUCGGAGGUAUCAUCACCAAGGCACUCAUUCUGCUUAGAACACUUGCUUUGCCAUGGUAAACAACAUUGUCUAUGAUUAUGACCGUUGUUUUCUUCCCCUCAAGCCCUGUGUGUGCUCUCUUCCUUUCAUUUGAAGCUUGUCCAUGUUUUCAAAACUGCAACAUUUUUAUCAGCCAUUAACCACAUCAAAACAGUUUAAAAUUGCCUAGUAAAGUUGAAGAUGCACAUAACCAAUGAUUGUACUUCUAGCAAUAUACCUAGAGAAACACAUACACCUAGCCCAGGAGAUAUGUAUAGGAACAUUCACAACAGCGUUCUUAUAAUAGCAAAAAACCAGAGACAACCAAAAUAUCCAUCCAUAAGAUAAUGGAUAUAUAGUUGUAUAUUCAGAAGAUUGUAUACUAAGCAGCAGUGAAAAUGAGCGAGUUAUAUGGAUAAAACAGUGUUAAGUGAAAGCAGUCACAGAUGAAUAAAUACAAUAUUCCAUUUACAUAAAAUUCAAAACAGACAAGAUAAAACAUUUUUUUAGGGAUCUCUACAUGCAUAUUUGGUAAUAAAAGCAAGAGGAUGAUUAACACAAAAUUCAGUAAGUAGUUAUCUCCUUGGUGGGAGGAUGCAGCAGGAGGGGCGCACAUGAAGCUUCAAAGGUGCUGGUAAUGUUGUGUUCUUAAAACUGGGUCAUGUAUACAUAGCAUUGGUUUUAUUGUUCUUUUCAACUGUACAUGCACUAUAUAUUACAUAUGUAUGUAUUGUAUCAUUAUAUGAUAUCUUUCAAGAUGA
rnacentral:lncRNA from 1 species